rnacentral:rRNA from 1 species
AGAGUUUGAUCAUGGCUCAGAACGAACGCUGGCGGCGUGCUUAAGACAUGCAAGUCGAACGAGAAAGGGGGCUUCGGCCCUGAGUACAGUGGCGCACGGGUGAGUAACACGUGGGUAAUCUGCCUUUAGGUUCGGGAUAACUCGGGGAAACCUGGGCUAAUACCGGGCAAGACCUCGGAGCUCUUGGGCUCGGCGGUAAGAGAUGGCCUCUUCUUGAAAGCUAUCGCCUGAAGAUGAGCCCGCGUCCCAUUAGCUAGUUGGUGAGGUAACGGCUCACCAAGGCAGUGAUGGGUAGCUGGUCUGAGAGGACGAUCAGCCACACUGGAACUGAGACACGGUCCAGACUCCUACGGGAGGCAGCAGUCGGGAAUUUUGGGCAAUGGGGGCAACCCUGACCCAGCAACGCCGCGUGAGCGAUGAAGGCCUUCGGGUCGUAAAGCUCUGUCGAGAGGGAAGAAUGUCCUCGCGAUGAAUAAUCUCGGGGGAUUGACGGUACCUCUAAAGGAAGCGCCGGCUAACUCCGUGCCAGCAGCCGCGGUAAUACGGAGGGCGCAAGCGUUGUUCGGAAUCACUGGGCGUAAAGCGCGUGUAGGCGGCUUGGUAAGUCGGGUGUGAAAGCCCGGAGCUCACUCCGGAACGGCACUCGAAACUGCUCGCUCG